rnacentral:tRNA from 1 species
GCCAAUCUAGCUCAGUCGGUAGAGCAGCUCAUUCGUAAUGAGCAGGUCAUCGGUUCGAAUCCGAUGAUUGGCUCCA